UACGGAGGAUCCAAGCGUUAUCCGGAAUUACUGGGCGUAAAGAGUUGCGUAGGUGGCAUGUUAAGCAAGCUAUGAAAGCGUCCCGCUCAACGGGAUAUCCGUAGUUUGAACUGGCAAGCUUGAGGAUGAGAGGGGUCGCUAGAAUUCCCUGUGUAGGAGUGAAAUCCGUAGAUAUAGGGAGGAAUACCGAUGGCGUAGGCAGGCGACUGGCUCAUUUCUGACACUAAGGCACGAAAGCGUAGGUAGCAAACAGG
rnacentral:rRNA from 1 species